rnacentral:RNase_P_RNA from 1 species
AGCAGACUGUGCGAUCGCGGGAACGAUUUAGUUCACGAGGAAAGUCCGGGCAUCACAGAGCAGGAUAGCUGCUAACGGCAGCCGGGGGUGACCCUAGGGCCAGUGCAACAGAGAAGAGACUGCCGGAGUGAUCCGGCGAUGGUGGAAUGGUGAGGUAAGAGCUCACCGGAGUGCAGGAGACUGCACUGCCGUGUAAACCCUAUCCGGUGCAACGCCUUAAAUGUCGUCGGUUGUCAACGCUUGCUCGGCGGACGACUGACUAAUGGCGGCUUGAGCGGUGCGGCGACGCAUCGCCUAGAUAAAUGAUCGCGCACGACAGAACCCGGCUUACAGGUCUGGUC